UGGGGAAUAUUGGACAAUGGGCGAAAGCCUGAUCCAGCCAUGCCGCGUGUGUGAAGAAGGUCUUCGGAUUGUAAAGCACUUUAAGUUGGGAGGAAGGGUUGUAGAUUAAUACUCUGCAAUUUUGACGUUACCGACAGAAUAAGCACCGGCUAACUCUGUGCCAGCAGCCGCGGUAAUACAGAGGGUGCAAGCGUUAAUCGGAAUUACUGGGCGUAAAGCGCGCGUAGGUGAUUUGUUAAGUUGGAUGUGAAAUCCCCGGGCUCAACCUGGGAACUGCAUUCAAAACUGACUGACUAGAGUAUGGUAGAGGGUGGUGGAAUUCCCUGUGUAGCGGUGAAAUGCGUAGAUAUAGGAAGGAACACCAGUGGCGAAGGCGACCACCUGGACUGAUACUGACACUGAGGUGCGAAAGCGUGGGGAGCAAACAGGAUUAGAUACCCACGUAGUCCCUGAGCGGGCUGGCAAGGCGCAU
rnacentral:rRNA from 1 species